rnacentral:sRNA from 2 species
GCACAGAGCAUUUAGGGUUCCGCCUUCCGACGCCGUCCGAAGGGUCUGGUCCGAGAAAUGCAGCCGGUCGGCAAAUUCCGCCCGGUCCACGGCGGGCCAAAAUCCCGGGAGAG